GUGUUCACUUCAGCAGCACAUAUACUAUAAUUGGAAUGAUACAAAAAAGAUUAGCAUGGCUUGGUGCAAGGAUGACAUACUAAUUCAUGAAGCAUUCAUAUAUAUA
ensembl:snRNA U6 U6 spliceosomal RNA